ensembl:lncRNA
AGCCGUUCAAAAUAUUUAUUUUCACAGUGGCAGGGCUUAUAGUGAGGUCUAAAAAAGCCCUAACGGUUAAUUCCAUGUAAAAAAAAAAAAAAAAAGCUAAUUAAAUGUCAUUAGCAUGUGUCUGUAGAUGAUCAGAGAAAACCUUUGAUUUGACCAUGAUUUACUAGCUGAGUCCUUAGCUGGUCACAACUACCAAUCACUGUUACCUUUUCAGUCAUUUGAGCACCGUGAGCCGUUUUUUGAUAUGAAUGUAAAACAUUCUGGAGCUUCUACUUUGGUGUUCUGACUCACCAGUUAUAGUGGCCUGCCUAUGUUGCAGUCGCGCAGCCCGUAUCUAGGACCCUGAAUCGUUUUCUAGUGCGUUGCAGUGUGCCGUCUGCAGACACUGCGCAAGGAUUGAAUUAUACUCCAGACCUAUUCUGUCACAUCCUUGGCGUUUUAGAGAAGCCUUCGACCGUACUUGAGGGACAUUGAUGACGCGGUUUUUUCUUCCUAACCCAAUUACUUAUUAUCACAAAAUCGCACGUGUUUCAAUUUUGAGCGAAUACAUUGCUGUGCAUCUCUCUGUGGUGGUUCGAUUCAACCAUUAGGCAAGACAAUUUCUACAGUUUAGAUUCAAGCGCUUGGCACCGACACGCUGGUCACUGACUCAGGGCGCAAGUGAGAUGCAGUAUGCUAGCACUCUGCCAGUAAUACCGCCAUUCACAACACGCAGCGGUGUGUUCACUGAGCUGGUGGAAACCAAACAGUCAUAAACGUGCCAGAUAUGAGUCUCUCUAGGGCACCACGCACUGUAUCAGUAGCCGAUAGUAACAGACGCCUCAAAUUACCCCGAUUUUGUCAGUAAUUUGUGUAGUGACGUUCUACUGAUUUUCAAAAUAUAAUCCACUGAAAACAUGUCGGCUGUUUACUUCACCAACAAGCUCUUGUUCGGCUCUCUGCUCCUGCUGCUGCUGGUGCGAUCAGGCAGCCUAAGGGAGACCUCCAGUCACCAACUCCUCCCUGACCUCCCCCACCCCUACCGCACCCUCUCCUCCUCCUCCUCCUCUUCUUAUGCUGCGGCCUCCGUCACCCCUGAUGACCAGGCUGACCUCCUACCGCUGGCCAACCGUGACCCUGACCCCCAGCACGUGCCCGGCUUCCUGGAGAGCUCACAAGAGUCGGGCUUCUACAGCGAGGACAGCGAGGAGAACAAGCCCUCCCCGGCAUCUGUGCAUCUGUGGGACACCAGAGAGGAAGACAACAACACCGGCCUGGACUCAGAGUCGCUCAUAGGUUACAGCCUCUCCUCCCUCCAUCCCAACUCUUCGACUCCUCCCCCUGCUCCCUCCUCGCCCUCCCCCUCGUUGGUUGAGUCCGUGGACUCGGACCUGUGGGAGAUGGAGAGCGAGUCUAGCGGCGUCCUGUCCGAGCCUGCGUAUGGCCUGUCCCCGACAGACGCCUCCGUGGUGGCCCAGUCCACCGUCACAGACGCCUCGGACAACACUGGACCGCUGCUGGGGCACCGGGGGGAGCAAGCCUGGGGGACAGCUGCACCUGACGGGGCCGCCUCUGAGGAACAGCAGGGAGCCGCAGAGGAGGAGAGGAGGAGCGUGGGCAGAGAGAGCAGUGUGCCAACGCAGGUGCCCACUAUAGCCGAGAUGGGGCCUGUGCCCAGCGGGGUCCCUCUUCAGCCGGAGGUCUCAGAGCACGAUGGCACAGAGGAGGAAGAGGAGAUGGUGGGAGGGGAGGAAGAGGAGGAGGAGGAGAGGAUGCUUGCUCCUGGUGGAGGCGAGGAGGAGGAUGAGGAGGAGAGAGGAGAGGAGAGGGAGUGGAUGGAGAGCAGGGGGCGGCACCACCAUACCCCCCUCACAACCGUGCUGUCGUCCUCAGUCAUGCCGGCUUUGGUCUUUACCCAGGUGCCCUGGCAGCACCUGGGGCCCUCCGACACCGACGGCCAGGAAGAGCAGGAGAGCGAGCUGAGACACGGCGACACCGAGUACAUGACCGAGUCGGACCUCCUCAACCCACAGCUAUCCCAGGAGACCGUGCAGGUUAUCUGCGUGGACUGGAGCAAUUUGGCAGGGAAGGGCUACAUCAUUCUCAACAUGACAGACAACUUUGACUGUGUAAGGACUUUGCCUGUUGCAAUGCAGAAUCAUCUUUUAGAUGGCCUUUUUCAAGUUGUGAGAUGAUAUGCAGAUGUGGAGUGUUGUGGAGAUUUGCACAGGAAAGUACUGUCUGUGUGUGUGUGUGUGUGUGUGUGUGUGUGUGUGUAGUGCUGUUUGUCCUUGCACUGUGCAUAAUCUUGAAGACUCUUACUUUUUACUGCUUCAUUGCUUCACUUUUCAGUUGCUGUCACAUUGUGACUAGCAUUUUGUCUGAGUGACUCAGAGAGCGAGAGCGCGAGCCUGGAGCAAGUGUGAGCGCCUUGAAGAGGCCUGUC